rnacentral:lncRNA from 1 species
AUGACACUAACCCUGUGUUCCCAGACCUUGGGCAUAGCACAGCCCCUGAUAACACAGAGGAGACAAAAAUGCUCCUCCUCGCUCUCCAGAUGAUGCUGGGAAGGGCAGUCCACCAGUUUGGUGCAGCAGGGAGCAAGGUGGAGGCGUUGUAGAUUGCCACGGUGCCAAGGCCCUGAGGAGAGACCCAAGGCCCCUCAAAAUGGCGCCUCGCCCCUCAGGUUUCCCGCCAACGGCCAUUCCCCAGUGAGCUGUCCCCUCAGGCAGCUUGUGGCACUGACUGCAAGUGCGCCCCUGCUCAGAGAGGUAUGUGCGGCCGAGGAGCAGCAUGCUGAGGGCGGUUAGACCCAUCCCUGGGCAGCAUCCAUGAAAUGCAGCAGUGACAGCAUGAGCUUUAAGGUUGAGAAGAAGCACGUGAGGAGAUGUUCUCCCUGUCAGGUGCUGCUGGGCUCUUGAUGUGGUCACAGCUGUCUGAGGAGAGCAGAACAAGCUGACAGGGAGCCGUGUCGUUGCAAUCAGGUGUUGCCCAAAAUUAAUUGAUCUGCAGGGUGAGAUGGUAGCUGUGCUGCUCCUCAAAUGCAGCCUCUGGCAGCUGAGUCUCCUUGGCUUGGUGCCUUGCAUGUCUACCACAGCACAGAAGAUUCAAGAUGAAGGCUAUGCUAACAGUAGCUGCAAAGGCUGCCAGGCUGGGCAGGUGUCCUCCUUCCUCUGUUUGGUGUUACUAUGCGGCUGAGGGUAAGUGUAUGCUCUAGAAGGAAGUUGGCCUGCUGUAGUAGACAGGUACACAAAGCAUCCAUGGUCUGCACCGCAACAAAAAUCAGCCCUCAGGUAGUUGCUGCCUGACAUGUUUAAGAGGGCAAUUUUCCCUUUGUUGAGAAUUACAUUGUGCACAUACCAAGGGGAGAACGUUCCCCUAAUUAGUUAGAGAAUACAGGCAACGAGUCUUUGUGUCAGAAAGGGCUUCUCUGCUUGUCCCUUAC